rnacentral:rRNA from 1 species
AUGAGCAUCUCCGUGAACGGGCAGUCGGUGGUGCCGCCGGGGUUCCGGUUCCACCCGACGGAGGAGGAGCUGCUCACUUACUACCUCGCCAAGAAGGUGGCCUCGCAGCGCAUCGACCUCGACGUCAUCCCCGACGUCGAUCUCAACAAGCUCGAGCCAUGGGACAUCCAAGCGCGGUGCCGGAUCGGAACUGGCCCGCAGAACGACUGGUACCUGUUCAGCCACAAGGACAAGAAGUACCCCACUGGGACGCGCACCAACCGCGCCACCGCAGCCGGGUUCUGGAAGGCCACCGGCCGGGACAAGCCCAUCUACUCCGCCGCCGGCCGCAUCGGCAUGCGCAAGACGCUCGUCUUCUACAAGGGCCGUGCCCCACACGGCCACAAGUCCGACUGGAUCAUGCACGAGUACCGCCUUGACGACGCCGUCGCCCCUGCGACCAACACCGUCUUUGCUGCCGGCGACGCAAGUUCCUACUACUCCGGCAUCUCAUCCCCGGUUCGCGGCGUGGCCGGGGACCAGUCGCCGUUGGCACAGGAGGACGGGUGGGUCAUCUGUAGGGUGUUCAAGAAGAACAUCGUUGCGCAGCACCAAGCUGGCCAGAGCGGCGGCAGGGGCGGCGGCGCAGCGUCCAACAAGCUGGUUGGCGCCGGUGCCGUGGAGCGCAGCCAGAGCAACUGCUCGUCGACGGUGACCGCAGCCAGCGACCCCGCCAAGGCGCAGAUGAUGCACUGCGCCGGCAGCGACGACGGGCUCGACAACAUCCUCAGGUACAUGGACCGCUCAUCCGCGGCAUCGUGCAAGCAGGAGACCAAGCCCACCAACCCAUCAUCGUCACCGCUGGACCAGCUGAUCAACAGCGCGUGCCACAGCGGCAGCAGCACCCUGUACGAAAAGUUCAUGAAGCUCCCGCCGCUCGAGUACGGCGGCGACUGGGACGCUCUUGACCGGCUGGCGGCGUACGAGCUCAACGGUCUCUCUGACGCCGCGACGGCCAAGACGACCAACGGCAUGUCCUACAUCGUGGACGAGCUCGGCGGCGCCACCACGGCCUACACCAGCGGUGGCACGGCACACAGUUCCUCCCUCACCGGGGGCGGCGACGGCGACCUGUGGAGCCUGGCGCGGUCGGUGUCAUCGCUACACGCGGACUUGACGAUGACCUGUUUUAACGCCGUCGGGUGCUGA